GCAAGUCGAGCGGAUGAGAAGAGCUUGCUCUUCGAUUCAGCGGCGGACGGGUGAGUAUGCCUAGGAAUCUGCCUGGUAGUGGGGGACAACGUUUCGAAAGGAACGCUAAUACCGCAUACGUCCUACGGGAGAAAGCAGGGGACCUUCGGGCCUUGCGCUAUCAGAUGAGCCUAGGUCGGAUUAGCUAGUUGGUGAGGUAAUGGCUCACCAAGGCGACGAUCCGUAACUGGUCUGAGAGAAUGAUCAGUCACACUGGAACUGAGACACGGUCCAGACUCCUACGGGAGGCAGCAGUGGGGAAUAUUGGACAAUGGGCGAAAGCCUGAUCCAGCCAUGCCGCGUGUGUGAAAAAAGUCCUCCGAAUGUAAAGCACUUUAAGUUGGGAGGAAGGGCAUUAACCUAAUACGUUAGUGUUUUGACGUUACCGACAGAAUAAGCACCGGCUAACUCUGUGCCANCAGCCGCGGUAAUACAGAGGGUGCAAGCGUUAAUCGGAAUUACUGGGCGUUAAAGCGCGCGUUAGUGGUUUGGUUAAGUUGGAUGUG
rnacentral:rRNA from 1 species